ACACACACAGGAUACUCCCUUUGGGCUCACCAUUCUAGCUUAUACCAUGUUUCCCAUGACAUUUUAACAACCCAUCAAAAAAACACCCAAGAAAGAUUCUAACCAACCAGCAGGGACGAACAAGACCAUAUUCCUCAUCUCUAACAGUCUCCAGAUUUCACCUCACUAGGAACACAAGCUACCAUCACACAUCUCACACAGACCGC
rnacentral:lncRNA from 1 species